GGGUUGUGAGGUUAAGCGACUAAGCGUACACGGUGGAUGCCCUGGCAGUCAGAGGCGAUGAAGGACGUGCUAAUCUGCGAUAAGCGUCGGUGAGGUGAUAUGAACCGUUAUAACCGGCGAUUUCCGAAUGGGGAAACCCAGUGUGAUUCGUCACACUAUCAUUAACUGAAUCCAUAGGUUAAUGAGGCGAACCGGGGGAACUGAAACAUCUAAGUACCCCGAGGAAAAGAAAUCAACCGAGAUUCCCCCAGUAGCGGCGAGCGAACGGGGAGCAGCCCAGAGCCUGAAUCAGUGUGUGUGUUAGUGGAAGCGUCUGGAAAGGCGCGCGAUACAGGGUGACAGCCCCGUACACAAAAAUGCACAUACUGUGAGCUCGAUGAGUAGGGCGGGACACGUGGUAUCCUGUCUGAAUAUGGGGGGACCAUCCUCCAAGGCUAAAUACUCCUGACUGACCGAUAGUGAACCAGUACCGUGAGGGAAAGGCGAAAAGAACCCCGGCGAGGGGAGUGAAAAAGAACCUGAAACCGUGUACGUACAAGCAGUGGGAGCACGCUUCGGCGUGUGACUGCGUACCUUUUGUAUAAUGGGUCAGCGACUUAUAUUCUGUAGCAAGGUUAACCGAAUAGGGGAGCCGAAGGGAAACCGAGUCUUAACUGGGCGUUAAGUUGCAGGGUAUAGACCCGAAACCCGGUGAUCUAGCCAUGGGCAGGUUGAAGGUUGGGUAACACUAACUGGAGGACCGAACCGACUAAUGUUGAAAAAUUAGCGGAUGACUUGUGGCUGGGGGUGAAAGGCCAAUCAAACCGGGAGAUAGCUGGUUCUCCCCGAAAGCUAUUUAGGUAGCGCCUCGUGAAUUCAUCUCCGGGGGUAGAGCACUGUUUCGGCAAGGGGGUCAUCCCGACUUACCAACCCGAUGCAAACUGCGAAUACCGGAGAAUGUUAUCACGGGAGACACACGGCGGGUGCUAACGUCCGUCGUGAAGAGGGAAACAACCCAGACCGCCAGCUAAGGUCCCAAAGUCAUGGUUAAGUGGGAAACGAUGUGGGAAGGCCCAGACAGCCAGGAUGUUGGCUUAGAAGCAGCCAUCAUUUAAAGAAAGCGUAAUAGCUCACUGGUCGAGUCGGCCUGCGCGGAAGAUGUAACGGGGCUAAACCAUGCACCGAAGCUGCGGCAGCGACACUAUGUGUUGUUGGGUAGGGGAGCGUUCUGUAAGCCUGUGAAGGUGUACUGUGAGGUAUGCUGGAGGUAUCAGAAGUGCGAAUGCUGACAUAAGUAACGAUAAAGCGGGUGAAAAGCCCGCUCGCCGGAAGACCAAGGGUUCCUGUCCAACGUUAAUCGGGGCAGGGUGAGUCGACCCCUAAGGCGAGGCCGAAAGGCGUAGUCGAUGGGAAACAGGUUAAUAUUCCUGUACUUGGUGUUACUGCGAAGGGGGGACGGAGAAGGCUAUGUUGGCCGGGCGACGGUUGUC
rnacentral:rRNA from 1 species